UGGGGAAUCUUGCGCAAUGCGCGAAAGCGUGACGCAGCAACGCCGCGUGGGGGAAGACGGCCUUCGGGUUGUAAACCCCUUUCAGGAGGGACGAAGCCCGGGCGGUUAAUAGCCGACUCGGGUGACGGUACCUCCAGAAGAAGCCCCGGCUAACUACGUGCCAGCAGCCGCGGUAAUACGUAGGGGGCAAGCGUUGUCCGGAAUCAUUGGGCGUAAAGAGCGUGUAGGCGGUCCGGUAAGUCGGCUGUGAAAGUCCAGGGCUCAACCCUGGGAUGCCGGUCGAUACUGCCGGACUAGAGUUCGGAAGAGGCGAGUGGAAUUCCCGGUGUAGCGGUGAAAUGCGCAGAU
rnacentral:rRNA from 1 species